UUGUCAUUCUGUUAUGUCAACAAUUCCUAUUUUUAUUAUUUUUGAAAUUUUAUUUUAACACAGAGACUGCUGAUCAAAAGAAGAACAAGUUGUGUUCUAGGUGGCCUAAUCUGAAAUUUAGAAUUUCUAGGUUCCUGUGUGGUCUUGGCAUUUUCUGCUGACAGCAUUCUCUAACUACUGAAAGUAGAAGGGACCAAUUUGGUGCUCUGGGGGUCCUCUGCACCCCCAGCUGUCAGUGGUUUGGUUUUGUUUUGCAUAAGUCAUCUAUCCAUAAGGCUGUAAAAUCUAAAAAGUUAUUGUACUUUGGGAGGCUCACAAGACCGCCCUCAAGUUCAGUCAUUCAGUAGAAGGACUCACAGAAUUCAGAAAAGUCGUUAUACUCAAGGUUAUGGUUUCCUACAGCAAAAAGAUAGAGAAUAGCAUCAGCAAAGGAAGAGACGCACAUAGGGCAGAGCCCCAGAGAGACCAGGGGAGCUUUCAGUUGUCCUCUCAUGGUGGAGUUCUGCAGACGCUGCUUACCUCCCAGCAGCAAUAUGUGCCAUUGCACAUGGAGCACUGCCCACCAGAAGCUCCCUCAAGCCUUGCUGUCCAGAGAUUUUACUGGCAUUCAGUCACAUAGCCAUGGCUGAACCCCGGCAUGGCUGACCUUAGUCUCCAGAGUCAAACUGAUAGUGCACAGCCCAAGGCCCCUAUCAUAAAUCACACGAUUAGCAUAGGCUGUCUGGCAUAGACCAAGGCCCCAAGGGAGAGAGGCUUGUCAGGCAGGGCAUGCGAGGGCUUAGAGGUUGACUCCCAGGAGCUGGACCAGAGCCAAACCUUUCUUUGGGCGAGGUGAAUCCCCUACUGAAAAGGCAUGUGUUAAGAAAUCCUACUGCCAUCCCUCUCUUCAUCUACCCCCAGCAUCCUCUGCCUCCUAUAGGAAGCCAUGUUAAUUGUUUCAUAUAUCCUUCCACUGUUUAGUUAUGAAAAGGAAAGCAAAUAUGGAUACAUUUAUCCUAAUUCCUAGCCAACAGUUUGUAUCCUAUAUACCCUGUUCUGUUCCUUCUUUUCACAUAAUUUACUCUAGACACUUCCAUAUCAGUACUUAGUGAACUUCAUUUUCUUUUGGCAGCUGCGUUGUAUUCAUUAUGUGAAAGUACCAUUGAUUUUUUUCAGUGUACUUAGGAGUUUCUUAGGAAAAACGCUUAAGUUGUUUACAGUGAAUGAGUUUAAAUAACUUCAUACGCAUAAAGGUUAUACUUAUAGGUUAAAUGCUAGAAAUGGGGUUACCUGGUCAGAGGUUAAAUGCAUUUUUAAUUUUGAUAAAUACUGCACAAUUGCCCUCCAUAGUGGUUGUAACAUUUUGCAUUCUUGUGUGCAAAAUAUUUGUUCAUGUGCCAUUCAUUUAAUUGAGCACCUACUAUGCACCAGGCACUAUUCUAGAUACUGGUAAGACAGUAAUGAACACAAUAGACAAAAAGCUGUCAUCAUGUAGCAUACGUUAAAGUGAGGAAGAAGAAAAAAACUUUUAAUAGUAACUUAGUUUGUGUCAGAAGUUGAAAAAUUCCUAUGGAAAAAAUAAAGCUGCAUAAGUUGUAUGGAGAGGGUUUGGAAGGACAGAUUUUAAAAUAAAGUAGUCAGGCUUCCAUUAGAAGAUAUUUUAGAGAAACUUUAAAGAAAAUGAGGGAGUAAGUUCCUUGGACAGUUAGAGAACAUUUUAGUCCAAGGAAGUACCCAGUUGUCUGACCGCAUGUCCGGGUGCACGAGCGGUGCAGGAUUGGUUGUGGAGAGACCGAAGAAAAGGCCCAGAGACGACGUAUGAGACAAAGGGCUUGUUGGGUCUUACUUACAGGGUGUGUCCAGUGGCGGCCGGCUGGAAGGAGUUGCUGUUGCCUCGAGCAGAGAGGGGUUUGCUUAUGUAAGCAGGGAAACAAAGGAUACGGGCUUGCCAGGAGGGACUGUCCUUGCAUGGUGGGCGUUCCAGGGAUCAGUAGCUCAUGUGGAAGGGCUCUGUGUUCCCUCAAGAUGUGAUGUGCUUUGAGAAAAACAGUUACACUGCCAGAUGGUUAGCAUACUGGGGACAUAGGCUAGUGCCAGGCAAGCGUGACCCUACACCUGUGCAAAUGCCCUGAGACAGCGUAGUGCUAAAGGGAUUCCAGGACAGCUAGGAGGCCAGUGUGUCUACAGCAGAAUAAAUACGGGGAGUAACAAAACAGAUAAAGAGGGUGGGUUGUGUGGGAUCUUGAAGGCCAUUGCUGAGUGUCUGGCUUCAGCUGAAGUGACAUGUGGAACCAUUGUGAAGGGUGAUGUGGCAUGAGUUCCCCCAGACCCAAAGACCAUGACUUGAGUGCAUGGCUGUACAGGGAAGAGUGAAACAGGAAAGAGGAAAUUAAAUAUUGGUGUUCUCUCAAAUUCUGUAUUUGGCCAGUUCUCUCCUAGGUUUAUAUGUCUUUUCUGAGCCAGGUCUUUCCCUCUGAUGACUUCAGUUACCACCUUAAUGGCUAACAUCUCCUAAAUUUUUGUCUUUAUCCUAGACUUCUCAUGUGUGCUCCAAAAUCAUACAGACAGUUGUGGUGUGGAUAAUUCCACCUCUUUGCUCGCAGAGAUUUUAAAUACAAAAUGAGAAUCUGGGCUCACUAUGACGUUCUGCUUCUGCCCAACCCCAUUCUCCUGUUCUUUUAGUCUCAAUUUAUGGCAUCAUCCAUCACCCACCCAAUUUCUCACGCACCUUCUCUCUCUAGCUGCCCAAGAAAUUAAUGACCGGAUUUUGUUUUUUUCUCUUAGAGGUUUAGUGUCCUGUGCUUCACUCCCAUUGCUUUGCCUUAACAUAGCUGGUCAUCUCUUAAGUUGGUUUCUUCUGUUUUAAGAUUUUCUCCACGCCUCUUCUAGAGCAUUGCUUCUUGAAAGACGAGUCCAGUCAUAUGUGCCACCUCCAGGGCUUACAUGUAUCUUUGUUGGUUCCCCAUUAUCCCAGCAGAGAAUUCUGCGUGGGGUGUGCGUACCCUAGAGAGUGCUCAGGACAGUCCAUUGGGGUACAGGAAAAGAUUAGAGGAGGCCUACUUAUAAUAAUUUUAUCUUAAAAAAAUAAAGCACUAAGCUUGAUCAGUGUAUUAGUUUUCUAUUGCUGUCAUAACAAAUGACUACAAACUUAGAGGCUUAAAUCAACACAAGUUCAUUAUCUGACAAGUCUGAGGAUUUGAAGUCUGACAGGUCUCCCUGGACAACAAUCAGGAUGUUGGCAGGGCUGCAUUCCUCUGGAGGCCAUACGGGAGAAUCUGGUUCCUUGCCUUUUCAUUGUUUCUAGAGGUCAGCCCACAUUCUUUGCCUCCUGGCUGCCUUCUUCCAUCUUCAAAGCCAGCAGCAUCAUAACCCCGCUCCCCCAAGCCAUCUUUUGUUGUCAGUCUCUCUGACUACAACUGGGAAAGGUUCUCUGCUCUUAAGGAUUUGUGUGAUUAGGGUGGGUCUACCCAGAUAAUUCAGGCUAAUACCCUCAUUUCAAAGUGCUUAACCUUAAUCACAUUUAUAAAGUCCCCCUUACCCUGGAAGGUAACGUGUUCACAGGUUAGGUCAUGAAGAUCUUUAGGGCACCGUUAUUCUACCUGCCAUUAUCAGUAUUAGAUUAACUGGUAAUGUAGGUUUAUAAUAUAAGUACAUACAAAUUAAUUAGGAUAUGAGAGUAAUAUUUGUACUAAUUGUAUGAGAACCCCAAAGUAUAAGACAAAGUUAGGGCCAUAAUAGGCAUCCUUUAUAGCAUUUUGUCUUAAACUCUCGACAGUAAACAUGAUAAGAAUUAAUUCCCAAAGAUAUUUUCCAGGUCUCCUGUUUCUGAAUUCUCCAUAUUGAAUAGAAAUGUGCUGUUACAGGCAGCAGUGUCAUUCAAGGACAUGACUGUGGAGUUCACCCAAGAGGAGUGGCGGCACCUGGGCCCUGCUCAGAGGACCCUGUACAGAGAUCUGAUGCUGGAGAUCUACAGCCACCUGGUCUCCGUGGGGUAUUGUUUUACAAAACCAAAAGUGGUCUUCAACUUGGAGGAAGGAGAAGAGCCGUAUUUGUUAGAGGAAGAAUUCCUAAACAGGAGCUCCCCAGGAUGAAAUGGAGAUCCUCAGGGCAACCUUGGGACUCCUGCACCGAACAUGAGAGAGCUCAAGAUGGAAGGAGCGAGAGUCCAAGAAUGUGUGGAGCAGCUUCCUCCUCCACUUCCAGCGCUUAGACUUUUUGUGAGGAAGAAAUAAACUUGUUCCCUGGUAAAAUUUUACAUGUUUAUGUCUAGUUGUUACUGACAUAUCCUACCCAUCUCUCAGCUAAUACACUAUUGAAUAUGACUUCUGUGAGACUUCAGCAGUUACUGUACAUCAGAAAUGUCACAUGGGAGACAGAAACCCCUGGCAAUAGCCUGAAUGAUCUGCAGCUUUUAUUCACAAUUCUUCAUUAUUAAUGAAAUAAACCAAGAGAGAAUGCCAACAUUUCAGCAUAUAGAGAGAAGCCUUUAUCAAGAAAUUAUUUUUCAAUGAAUGUUAGAUAAUUAAGAAUAUAAAUGUUUUGGAUGUGUGAAAGUUUUCAACAAAUCUUCAGACUUUAUUAUCUAUCAAUGAUUGCUUUGAGGGAAAAAGUACCAAUUUGAGAAAAAUAAGUAAAAGGCUUUAUCUAAAAUUGUUAUAUCAGAACUCUUGCUUUGUGAGUAAUAUCAAAACAUUCAACAUUUAACAAAACACUCAUAGACAUUCACUAUAAUAGGAAAUUUUUAAAGGCCAGAAAAAAAUUGCAUAAUUAGAACAGCAUCAAAUUUGUACGUAAGUAUUCUCUGAGCUCUUUUGUGAUUGUCUAUGUGAGGAUGUAUAAGCAUGCCUCUUAGCUGUUUGAUGUAUAUAUUGGAACCCAAUGUCAUUGUAGGAAUUUUGUACCUUUUGCUUUAUUGUAACAUUAACUAUGACUUUCUACAUAAGUGUUAACAACCAAUAAACACUUUAUGGGAAAUACUUGAAAAUUGCAACCCUGCCACAUCCUGUUGUCUUCUAGCAUGUAUGUAUAGGAAAGGCCGUUUUUACUGAGCCGCCUCUUCAGCAAUGAAGACAGACAAUGUUUUCUAUAGAUUUUUGUGUUGUAUCAGAUUCAGCAAUGCAAUUAGUAUAAACAGUAUUUAUAUAAAGUAUUAAAAAGUCACAAUUAUUUUAAAGAAUGAGCCUUAUUAAUUUUUGGAGCAGCUGUGAACAGUGAUGCUCAGUAAGAGAAAAUAUUCCUAUCUUCCAUAUUCCUGAUAUGCCUCAGUGAGUUGCCUAUAUAUGGUGGAUUGUGUGAACCCUAAUUCUCUGUAACCCCUGCAGUGUCUGCAUUUGUACUUCUUUAUAAUGGAGUGUCAUAUUGUGUCCUCUGUGGUUUUCUUUCUAAUGUUGACCUAAAAUAGUGGUUGAGGACAUCCUGAAAUCCUAGAUGCCCAUGGGACAUUGGAUAGGUUAUGUAAACUUUGUAUCUUAGUAUCCUCAUCUGCAAAUUGGGGAUAAUAUCACCUCAUCAGAUUAUUAUGAGGAUUAAAGAAGUUAAUCUAGCUAAAGCAAAUGGAAGAACAUCUGGCAUGUGGCAAGAGUUAUGCACAUUAAGUAUUAUUACUGUUACUACCACCACCACCAUCAUGGCCAGUAUUUCCUGAAUUUAUACGGAAAAAAAUGGUAGAAGUUUGAACAGAUUCUAUUGGAUGGCUGUCUAGGAACCACUCCCCACUUUUUCCUCACUUCCAGAGCCACCCCUCCCUCAAAGAUGCAGAGAUAAACCCUUGGCUUGGACUAAACAUGGAAAUACACCCUCCAUAUAUCUGUCUUGCAUAGUGUUUCUCCAGCUUUUUUCAUUAUCACUCCCCCCUAGAUAGCCCUUUUAGAUUCUUUUCUAAUUGCCCUAUCCCAAUAAUAGUGUCAUAUCAAAGAUGUAUUGUAUAUCUAUUUAUGUACUGUAUGUUUGUGCUUCAUACCUAAAAAGAUUGUUUUCAUCCCCACUCCGCUACCCCCAGGAGCCAAUUUUUGACUCCUUGACAAUAUUAUCCCUGCCAGAAAUGCUUGGUUUAGAGUGAUAGUGACUCCGCUAUGUACAGUGAGACCCCUGAACAAUGUUUAUAGGGGUUUCCUCAAUGAUUAAUAAGUUAUUCAUAAUAUCAUUGUGUAAAAGAAGUAUUUCUGCUUCAUAGCUGCUGUUACCAGCACUAAUAGGUUCCUUUGGGAACUUAGUGUGGUGUCCAGUUAAGUCCCAUGUAAAAGAUAUGGAACACAUUAAAUUGAGA